GUUUAUUUUAGGUCGGGCCUGCCCAAUGAUUGAGGUUGAUUGAAUGGCCGCAGUAUCCUAACUGUGCGAAGGUAGCAUAAUCAAUUGUCUUUUAAUUGAAGGCUUGUAUGAAUGGUUUGAUGAGGGGUAGUCUUUCUUAAUUUCAAUUUAUCUAAUUUAACUUCUUGGUUCAAAGGCUAAGAUUUUAUUAUGGGACGAGAAGACCCUAUAGAAUUUGAUUUUUAUUCUAGUUUUAAGCUUUAUUUUUAUGAUUUGUUAAUUAGUUAUGAAGGUUUUGUUGGGGUGACAGAGUGAUUUUCUUAACUCGCUUUAUUUAUUGCUCGUUGAUUAGCGUGUUGGUUGAUCCUUUACUAUGGAUUGUAAGUUAUAAUUACCUUAGGGAUAACAGCGUAAUUCUUCUGGAGAGUUCUUAUCGAUGGGGGAGAUUGCGACCUCGAUGUUGGAUUAAAGUAAGUGUUGGGUGUAGAAGCUUAAUUACUUGGUCUGUUCGACCA
rnacentral:rRNA from 1 species